AUGCAAACCAUUGUUCAGUUGAAAGGUUUUCCGAAGCGAGUGUGCUUGCUGAUGGAAGGGCAGCAGUCUACCAGUGUAGCUCUGAUUCUCUUUGCUACCCAAGACAAAACUUCAAGGUUUGCAGAAGAUGCAAUACACAGGGGAUGGGUAAAGAAUUUGACUUUGCAUCUGAGGCUUGACAUCAAUGCAUCGGUGAAGAUAGAAUUUUCUUUUGAAUUCAGUAUUAGUUCUUAAGAGAAUGAAAUCAACAAAUCAACAGAUCUUUUAUAAAGGAAAAGGGGCAAGAAUAAUGUCGUGAAGCUCCCUUCUUCUCAAUUAAGGUAAAGAACAGACACCAACUCAGAGUUGUCUUUUUUCAUGUGUAUACAGAUAGAAAAUGUGAUUCAUGAAUAUUGUUAAGCAGAGUAACUUGAAGGAUUUUGGAGAGCUAUGUUUUGAAAGUGAUGGUCAGGUUCAGAGAUAAGACCCUGAAGGUCACAUAAAGUAACAAAUGGAGUAGAAUUUAGUUGCACUGUGUGGUAAGGGUGGAGACUUGUAAAUUUCCAGGACAGAGGUAGGAGACUAAAUUCUAUGCAUGUGAAAAACAUGUAGAAGUAAAGGAAAUCCAUGGUCAAGUAAGGACCUCCAUCAGAGAGAAAGCAGAAUUGUUUAAUACACAUUUGAAUUAAAACACUCCUAUGAUUCUACAAGUGAAAAGACUAUUAAAAUCACAAGAUGCUUGAUGGGUUAGAUUUUUUUUUUGUCUAAAUAAAGGGGUGUGUUUCUUCUGCAGGUUAGUGUAGAGCCUGGCAGAAGUCACCAAGGACUCAUGGGUGAAUGGAUGAUAGACCCAACUUAAAAUAAAUACUAACUUCUUUGUUCUCUUUGCUCAAAAUGAAUUCAUGAAGAAACUAAAACAUCUUCUUAGAUUAAAAGCCCAAGUAGGGGAUGCUAAACAGAGAUGCAUACAGUCCUAAUUCUCCCAACUGAAUGAAAUGGUGUCAGUCAACACACAAACCAUGAUCACUUAGUGCAAGAACUGCGUUUGAUAUUUUCUGUUAUUGAGUUAGUAAAGAGGGGGGUUCACCCUUUACAGAUAUUUCUGACCCAGUUCCUAAUGAAAAAAGAAGUUCCUCCAUUUGGGCCAAUAGGAGAUGGUUUCAGAAAUCAUCCACUGUAAUCCUUCCAAGUUAGGGGAAGCUCCCGCUUGUCUUCUUACAUUCUGUCUUCAAAUUCAGAAUUCUGAAUUUGAUUCUUGCUAAGGUCAACCAGAUCCUUAAGCCAUUCUUGUGUACAACAUUAUCAGGGAACUUUCCAUGGUGCUUAGUAAAAUACUUCCUUGGGGUGGAGGAGCGCAAAGAUUCAGCCAUUUUGGAAACAGUACUUGAAUAGUCAUCAUUCUGAGCUCUAAUUAUUUGAGCCAGGGAUAGAAGUUAUGAUUUUGGAGUAAGUAGACCUGGGGAAGGAAAAAAUUUUCCUUAGUCUAAAAAAAUUUUCCUUAGACUAAAAAUUUUCUUUAGUCAAUCCUGAAUGGAUUUUGCUUCUG
rnacentral:lncRNA from 1 species